GUGCAAGUGGGUGACAGGCUGGAACAGCCUUUUGUUCCGGUCCAAAGCGGACGCCUGACUUUUGUGGGAAGUGAGGAUCAUUUUCCCAAUCUGGAUGCC
rnacentral:tRNA from 3 species